GACACCCGAGAGAUCGGCGGUUCCCCUUCGGGGGACGAGGGUGACAGGUGGUGCAUGGUUGUCGUCAGCUCGUGUCGUGAGAUGUUGGGUUAAGUCCCGCAACGAGCGCAACCUCGACCUUAGUUGCCAGCAUUCAGUUGGGCACUCUAAGGUGACUGCCGGCUAAAAGUCGGAGGAAGGUGGGGAUGACGUCAAAUCAUCAUGCCCUUAUGACCUGGGCUACACACGUGCUACAAUGGGCGGUACAAAGGGUCGCGAACCCGCGAGGUGGAGCAAAUCGCAGAAAAUCGCUCUCAGUUCGGAUUGGAGUCUGAAACCCGACUCCAUGAAGGUGGAAUCGCUAGUAAUCGCGGAUCAGCAUGCCGCGGUGAAUACGUUCCCGGGUCUU
rnacentral:rRNA from 1 species